rnacentral:misc_RNA from 1 species
CAGAGUUGCAAAACUCCCCAAACCAUUGUGAACCUUACCUCUAACCGUUGCUUCGGCGGGCGGGGCCACAGCGCCCCCCCGGGCCCCCCAGCGGGGCCGCCCGCCGGAGGAUACCCAAACUCUUGAUACUGUAUGGCCUCUCUGAGUCUUCUGUACUGAAUAAGUCAAAU